GCCGGAGUGGCGAAAUGGCAGACGCGACGGAUUCAAAAUCCGUUCUGGGUGAAACCAGGUGUGGGUUCAAGUCCCUCCUCCGGCA
rnacentral:tRNA from 1 species